GCUGUGGUUAGGGAUAUUUAUACGUUGGGUAUUAGUAGGAUGGAAGUGAUGAAGGGAGAGAGGCCAAUUAGGCCAUGAUUGCUCUGAGGAUGGGAAGUACGUGAAUGUGGAAUCUUGGGGCAAUAGAACGGACAGAACGUAGUGUAGCAAAGCUUCUCUCCAUAACGUUCCUCUGGCCAAGUGAGAAACAUGAAGAUUAGAAGUGCAGCACAUGCCUUCUGAAGAAGCCAGGCAUGGAACAGUUCUGGGAACACAGCACUGAUAAAACUCUUAGGGAUGAAUUUACCUAUACCUGUGUUUCAGCCUUGUGAUCUGAUGGAAGCUGAGGAAUGAUGAAGACAAUGGAAUCAAAGGCAAUUAACUACCACAGAAACAUACCAGGAAAGCUGAGAGAAUCCACAGAUCCUUUGAAGGAAGUGGCUUGCUGUUGCAGGCUCCUUGAGACAGCCAAAAACUG
rnacentral:lncRNA from 1 species